rnacentral:rRNA from 1 species
UACGGAGGGUGCGAGCGUUGUUCGGAUUUAUUGGGCGUAAAGGGCGCGUAGGCGGCCACUGAAAGUCGACUGUGAAAUCUCCGGGCUUAACCCGGAAAGGUCAGCCGAUACUGCGGGGCUAGAGUGCAGAAGGGGCAACUGGAAUUCUCGGUGUAGCGGUGAAAUGCGUAGAUAUCGAGAGGAACACCUGCGGCGAAGGCGGGUUGCUGGGCUUGCACUGACGCUGAUGCGCGAAAGCGAGGGGAGCGAACGGG